rfam:Schistosoma mattheei strain Denwood, Zambia genome assembly, scaffold: SMTD_contig0001498
GCACUGCUGAUGAGUCUCAUAUUAGGACGAAACGGUCGUCCAGUGC